GGAGCAUGUGGGGCUUCUCAUGUUCUCUUCUCCAUGUAUAUAAGAAUGGAAGACCUUUUGCUACCUUUUGCUUUCUUCAAUUUUUAUUUGCUUUUCUUCUUCAAUUCAUGAUCAACCCAGAUUGUUUUUUCUGCUCCUUUCUUAUUUUAUCAUUGAUUCCUCCAAAAGUUUUGGUUGUUGCAAGUGAUAUAUCUAUCUGCAAAAGAUUUUAUUUACGUUAAUCGCUUGCUUCUUUUUGUCUUUUCUUGUUUUCUUUUUUUCUUUAUUCAAAUGGUUUCUGAUUGAAUUGAGAAAGAUAUAGACUGCAUUAAAUAGAGAUUGUCCAUGGAAGAAACCAACAAACGAAGCAAGUUCAGGAGGAUGUGUGUGUUCUGUGGAAGCAACUCUGGCUUUAGACAAGUCUUCAGUGAUGCUACUAUUGAAUUAGGCGAUGAACUGGUUUGUUAUUUUCCCUGCACUCUAUUGGAUUUUAUUUUCAUUGACUAGGACAUGUGUUGCCUUUACUGGGCUAAAAGGAAUCAUCUUUUCUUUAUGCUUGUCUGUAUAUCUUUAGAUGCUGUGGAUUAGGUUUUUGAUGUAUGGAACCAAGGUUGCUUCUUUAGAUAAUGGGGGAGUUUUUAGAAGAAUGAAUUUUGCUAAUCGAUUUUUAUCCAUGUAAUUUUGUUGUGGCAUGGAUGUUUUAUGUAUUAGAUUGGGUUUUUCCCUGUUUCCUAAUAGGACUUCUUUGAUUGUACUGUCCUGUAGUCUCAAGACACCCGUUUUGUUUAUGAUUUCUUGCUUCACUGAAUGAUUCAUGAAUCGGGUGCUCAUCUAUUGAAAUAGGUAUAUCAUAUUUAUAUAAAAUGGAGCUGUACUCGUUCAUCUUCUUUUUUGUUGCUCUUUGUGAAUUUUGUGCAAGUUCUGUCUGCUGCUUUUAAUGGGUGUGGAUUACAGGUGAAAAGAAAGAUAGACCUGGUUUAUGGUGGAGGUAGUGUUGGGUUGAUGGGUUUGAUAUCUCAGAAAGUGUAUGAUGGAGGCUGCCAUGUUCUUGGGGUCAUUCCUAGAGCACUUAUGCCUCUUGAGAUAUCUGGUCAAACUGUCGGAGAAGUAAGAAUUGUUUCAGACAUGCAUGAGCGUAAGGCUGCUAUGGCCAGAGAAGCCGAUGCCUUUAUUGCUCUUCCGGGAGGAUAUGGAACCAUGGAAGAACUACUGGAGAUGAUCACGUGGUUACAACUUGGAAUUCAUAAGAAACCGGUUGGCCUGCUAAAUGUUGAUGGUUACUAUAAUUGUUUGCUAGCAUUGUUUGACAAUGGUGUUGAAGAAGGUUUCAUAAAGCCUCGUGCUCGUGAUAUAUUUGUCUCUGCUCCAACUGCCAUAGAACUUUUGGAAAAGAUGGAGCAAUACACUCCAUCUUAUCAGCAAGUUGCUCCACAUGAAAGCUGGAAUAUGGAGCAAUUGGGUAAUUAUCCAACACAACAUAAUGCACAGUGAAUGAUUGGUGAAUGUUAGGAGCCCAACUGACCUUUCACUCAUGGAAAAAUCAUUUGUACCCUCAUGGGUGAAGAUUGGCUUUAUUUUGAAGGUGCCAUUGCCAACUGGCAACUGCAACCCACGUGGAUUUCCAAUGGUUUUGCCUGCUGAGGGGGUCCUGAUGUGAAAUCUUUCACCAGUUGUGGCUCAUGUCCAAGUAAUGGUGGUGGUGGACCUUGUUGGUCUUGUAUGCCAUGAUCAAUGAGGUAAAGGUGGAGAUGGCUAUUGUUUCUUCUCAUGGGGCCAGUUUUCUACCUACCUUAUCCCAGAUUAGUUGCCGGAACAACUCAAAAGCCAUUUAAUUAACUGUGCACUAGGACAGGAAGCAUUCAACUUUUUAAGCAACUCUCAUUGAUGUCGAAUUCAACACUUUAUAAUUUUAAAGCUGACUUUAUUAUGUACUCUUUCCAUUUCAAAAAGCUAUUGAAACAAUAAAUUUUAUUUAUUUAUUUUUUCUUUUUUAAAGAUUAUUGACCAUUUAUUUUCUUGAUGCCAUCAUAUUAAAUUU
rnacentral:misc_RNA from 1 species